rnacentral:misc_RNA from 1 species
UUUCCGUAGGUGAACCUGCGGAAGGAUCAUUAAAAAAUAUCACAUUUGUUUGUGAUUUAAUAAUCAUCCUACCCUUUGUGAAUUUGUUUUUGUUUGAAAUUUAUGUUGUCUAUCCCUGGAUUAUGAAAGAAAAGUUGUAAAAGACUUUUUUUCAUUCUAGGGAAUAGGCUUUCAUAGACAUUUUUUUAAAUUAAACUUUUUGUAUUCAUUUGUCUAAAAUUUAUUUUUAAAUAAUUUAAAAACAACUUUUGACAAUGGAUCUCUUGGUUCUCGCAACUAUGAAGAACGCAGCAAAAUGCGAUAAGUAAUGUGAAUUGCAGAAUACGUGAAUCAUCAAAUUUCGAACGCAUAUUGCACUUUUUUAGUUUACUAAAAAAGUAUGUCUGUUUGAGUAUCAGUAAAAUAUUCUCAUAAAAACUAUUGUUUUUAUGGUUAUGAGUGUUUUACAACGAUAACAAGUUGUUUCACUUUAAAUUGAUUUUUUUAAUAAGCCAAUUUGGUUUUAUUUUUAAAAUUGGAUAAAAUUUUCCCGUAAAAAGGAAUAAACUUUUCAGUUUUAAAGUUAAAACUUAAAUUGACCUACAAAAAAGGAAAUUUAAUUAUAAAACUAACUUGAUCUCAAAUCAGAUAAGAGUACCCGCUGAACUUAAGCAUAUCAAUAAGCGGAGGAAAAGAAACUAACAAGGAUUCCCUUAGUAACGGCGAGUGAAGCGGGAAGAGCUCAAAUUUGAAAUCUUCAAGGUUCUACCUUGACGAAUUGUAGUUUAAAGAAGUGUUUUCUGUUAGUGGAGUGGCAAAAGUUCUUUGGAAUAGGACAUCAUAGAGGGUGAGAAUCCCGUAUUUGGUCAUUCCUUCUAGCUUUGUGAUACACUUUCAAAGAGUCGGAUUGUUUGGGAUGCAGUCCAAAAUGGGUGGUAAAUUUCAUCUAAAGCUAAAUAUUGGCGAGAGACCGAUAGCGAACAAGUACCGUGAGGGAAAGAUGAAAAGAACUUUGAAAAGAGAGUUAAACAGUACGUGAAAUUGUCAAAAGGGAAGCGUUUGACACCAGUGUUGUUUUUCCGAAAAUCAAUUAUAAAUGUUUUGUUUCUGAGGAGUGAUGACCUCAUCGGCUUCCUUCUCUCUUCACGAAACUUUUGUAAUGCACUUUUCGGUUAACAAGUCAACAUCAAUUUCUUUUGUUGUAAAAGAGUAUUCGGAAGGUGGCUUUCUUUUCGGAGAAAGUGUUUAUAGCCCUAUACUUCUACAAUCGGAGAGAUUGAGGUCUGCAGCGUAGAUCCUUCGGGUUAGAUACACUUGUGCUAAGUUAUAGCUUUUCAUAGACAACUUGUUGACUAUGUUUAGUCUUGUAGCUUACUCGCUUGUGCUAUUU